AUGGCCUCCAUACCCAUUAACGAGGUAGCUACAGAAGCAUCAUCCACCGAGCGUCUGGAGAGCCAGAGCCAGGGCAGUGGUAAUGGCAGCUCUGCAGGCGCCGACCCAAAACUGUACGAGUUCAAGGAGCAGCUCCUGCUGCUGGCGACUCUGGUUGCGACGGUGACCUACGUCGCAGGGCUGAACCUGCCAGGGGGAUCCUGGCAACAGGAUGGCUCAGGGGGUUACAUCGUGGGCGACCCGAUCCUCCGGGAUACGCACUACCGCCGGUAUCUCGCCUUCUACUACUGCAACGCCACCGCGCUGGCGACAUCACUCGUCAUCUCCCUCAUCCUCAUCAUUCUGCCUAGGAAAAGCACAUCCUGGACGGUGGUGUUGCGGGCCGUGAUGGCGCUCGACCUACUUGGCCUCAUGGGGGCCUAUGGCGCUGGGAGUAGCCGGGAUACAUUCACCACCGUCUACUCGGGGGUGGCCUUCUCCUUUCUGGUAUAUGUCAUCCUCGCUGUCUUCUUCUCCUACCUCUGGCUUAUGGCCAGGAACAGGGCCAACAACAAUGGUGAUGAUAAUUCCCGCUCCGACCCCAUUCCCGUCAAUGGUUACAAUAAUGAAAUCAUCUUUGACCCCAUUCCCAUCCUCACCAAUGAUGAUGGUAAUGAAAUCCAAUCCGACUCCAACCCCAUCCCCACCAUUGGUUUUGAUAAUGAAAUCAACUCUGACCCCACCUCCACCCCCAUCCUCACCAAUGGGGUUGAGAAUGAAAUCCAACCCGACUCCAUCCACAUCCCCACCAAUGGUGUUCAGAAUGAAAUCCAAUCCAACUCCAUCCGCAUCCCCGCCAAUGGUAAUGGUACUGGUGCCCAAUCCAACUCACCCUCCAGGAAGCAUGACAAAGAGAAGAUCGACUUGUUGAUGCUACUCGCAACCUUCGUGGUCACCAUUACAUAUGUGGCCGGGCUUAGCCCGCCUGGUGGGUUCUGGAGUAGCACCCAGGAUGGCCACCGUCCGAGUGAUCCAGUGUUACAAGCACGUGGGAGGUUCCGUGCUUUCUUCAUUUGCAACACCACCUCGUUUGUUGCAUCCCUGCUCAUCAUCGUGUUGCUCCUGGAGAAGAAGCUGAGCAAGACCAUCUCGGUACGGUUCGUGGCACUCUAUGGGUUGAUCGCCGUCGCUCUACUAGGCCUCAUGGGGGCAUAUGCUGCUGGGAGCUGCAGGGAGGCUGACAACACCAUCUUUGUCCUUACCCUCACCACUGCGGUUCCUGUCUGCGUAUGCCUCCAGCUGUUGAUUACUUACACCAUUGGUUGGAAACGAUGUGCGAAUGUGCAUAGUUCUGUCUUAGCAUGGUUCAAGAAGCAUGUCAGCAUUCCUCGAGGCACCAGCAGACGCAGGGACAUCCUACACGAAGAAAACACUCGCUAUCUUGUUAUGCUCCUUGCUACUCUUGUUGUGACCAUUACCUACCAAGCUGGACUUGAUCCACCAGGCGGCCUCUGGGAAGACGAUCAUGAUGGGCAUAAGAUAGGCCAUCCAGUGCUCCAACUGACACAUCCAACUCGUUAUAGAGUGUUCUUCUACAGUAAUUCGGCAACUUUCGUCACAUCCUUGGUCGUCAUCAUGAUGCUCCAGAGCAGGUUUUUGCUCAAGCGACACACACUUGAAGCAGCUCUGGUGCUGGACCUUUUUGGCCUCAUCACUGCCUAUGGCGCUGGGAGCACCAGGGAUGUAAAGACAUCCAUCUACAUUGUUGCCUUGGCGGGGCUUGUCCUCGUCUACGUCAUCGUCCAUAUCACCAUAAGAGACCAUGAUCCUGAGCCGGCGGAUGAUGCCGCAGUGAAAGAUUUGGAUAGCAAGCGCAAGUUGCUACUUCUGGCUGCCAUCUUGGCUGCUACUCUCACGUACCAGGCAGGUCUCACCCCACCUGGUGGCUUCUGGUCAUCAGAUGAUGAGGGGCUCGGACGUCGUUCGGGCUUCCCGGUACUCCUCGACAAUUACCCUCGACGUUACGAAGCAUUCUUUUACUGCAACUCAUUGAGCUUCAUGGCAUCCGUAACCCUAAUCCUUCUUCUCGUAAAUCCGAAGCUAUAUAGGCCAGGCAUACGUUGUUAUGCGCUCUAUGUGUGCAUGGUUGUUGGCAUGUUUGGCCUUAUGGGUGCCUAUGCUGCUGGAAGCUCGCGCCAUCUCAAGACCUCCCUCUAUGUAUUAACCUUGGUUGGUGCAGUGUUAGCCUUCAUAGCCUCACAGGUAGCAAUUUUCUGGAUCAUCCGUCAUAACCAAGCUGGUUCACCACAAGCAGAUCUACCAGAUAGGCAACUCAGACAAGGUGAAGAUGGAGAAGCAGAUGAUAACAGCAACAAAGAGAAAUAUAUGCUUGAAUACUUGAUGUUGCUAGGAAUCCUGGCAGCAAGUAUGACAUACCAGACUGGUUUAAAACCACCAGGCGGCCUGUGGCAAGACAACGACAAUGGACACUCUGCUGGCAACCCCAUCCUCCACGACAUUAACAAGCACCGGUACUACGCUUUCUUUUACAGCAACUCCACUUCCUUCAUGGCCUCGAUCGUGGUAGUCGUCAUGCUGCUUCCAUUGACAACAUUUCACAAUCACAAUCUGCCACUAUGGCCAAUGCAUACGGCCAUUCUACUGGAUAUGUUUAGCCUCCUUGUGGCCUAUGCAGCAGCCAGUAAUAGAAAGUGGGAAACCUCCAGAAACGUCAUCCUUCUUAUCAUCCCAGUGCUGGCCUACAUUGCAGUCUAUGCAACAAUGUCAGUCUUCUACCAUAGGAAAGACCAAAGUGCUAGCAAUGAGAAUACCAAUACCAACGCCACUGUUACAGUGACCGAAACCACACCAUGA
rnacentral:rRNA from 1 species